AUGAACGCUGGCGGCAUGCCUAACACAUGCAAGUCGAACGGACUUAUGGGGCUUGCUCCAUAAGUUAGUGGCAGACGGGUGAGUAACGCGUGGGAAUGUACCUUUUGGUUCGGAAUAACUACGGGAAACUGUAGCUAAUACCGGAUGAGCCCUCCGGGGGAAAGAUUUAUCGCCAAAAGAGCAGCCCGCGUUAGAUUAGGUAGUUGGUGGGGUAAUGGCCUACCAAGCCUACGAUCUAUAGCUGGUCUGAGAGGAUGAUCAGCCACACUGGGACUGAGACACGGCCCAGACUCCUACGGGAGGCAGCAGUGGGGGAAUAUUGGACAAUGGGGGAAACCCUGAUCCAGCAAUGCCGCGUGAGUGAUGAAGGCCUUCGGGUUGUAAAGCUCUUUUGUCAGGGACGAUGAUGACGGUACCUGACGAAUAAGCUCCGGCUAACUUCGUGCCAGCCGCCGCGGUAAU
rnacentral:rRNA from 1 species